rnacentral:rRNA from 1 species
ACUCAAAGGAAUAGACGGGGGCCCGCACAAGCGGUGGAGCAUGUGGUUCAAUUCGACGCAACGCGAAGAACCUUACCUGGACUCGAAAUGCAGUUGCCGCUUUCAGAGAUGAAGGUUUCCCGCAAGGGACGACUGUAUAGGUGCUGCAUGGCUGUCGUCAGCUCGUGUCGUGAGAUGUUGGGUUAAGUCCCGCAACGAGCGCAACCCUCACCCUUAGUUGCUCGUCCGCAAGGAAAGCACCCUAAGGGAACUGCCCGGGAUAACCGGGAGGAAGGUGGGGAUGACGUCAAGUCCUCAUGGCCUUUAUGCCCAGGGCUACACACGUGCUACAAUGGCCGGUACAAAGCGUCGCCAACCCGCAAGGGGGAGCCAAUCGCAAAAAACCGGUCUCAGUUCGGAUUGCAGGCUGCAACUCGCCUGCAUGAAGCUGGAAUCGCUAGUAAUCGCGUAUCAGAACGAUGCGGUGAAUACGUUCCCGGGCCUUGUACACACCGCCCGU